GCCCCUGUAGCUCAGUUGGACAGAGCAGCUGCCUUCUAAGCAGCGGGUCGCAGGUUCGAGUCCUGCCGGGGGCGCCA
rnacentral:tRNA from 1 species